rnacentral:rRNA from 1 species
GACGAACGCUGGCGGCGUGCUUAACACAUGCAAGUCGAACGGAAAGGGCCUGCUUUUGUGGGGUGCUCGAGUGGCGAACGGGGGAGUAACACGCGAGUAACAUGCCCCUGACUUUGGGAUAAAUUCUGGAAAAUGGGGCUAAUAUCCGAUAGGAGCUCCUUCUGCAUGGUGGGGGUUGGUAAGUUUCGGCGGUUGGGGAUGGACUCGCGGCUUAUCAGCUUGUUGGUGGGGUAGUGGCUUACCAAGGCUUUGACGGGUAGCCGGCCUGAGAGGGUGACCGGCCACAUUGGGACUGAGAUACGGCCCAGACUCCUACGGGAGGCAGCAGUGGGGAAUAUUGCACAAUGGGCGGAAGCCUGAUGCAGCAACGCCGCGUGCGGGAUGACGGCCUUCGGGUUGUAAACCGCUUUCGCCUGUGACGAAGCGUGAGUGACGGUAAUGGGUAAAGAAGCACCGGCUAACUACGUG